AGAGAACCCCGGACCCAAUGCCUGAAACAAAUAAAUAAAUUAUUCUCCUUGUAGCAACUCCCAAUUGAAUUUCGUUUGUACUUGCAUUGUCAAAUUGAAUUCAAUGGCUUCUAGAGUCAAUCACAUAAUCCAACAAUUUGUACUAAAUAUCUACAUUUAAGCUUAGACCCAUAUUUUUUUAAUUUGAAUGUGAUUACUGUGUUAU
rnacentral:misc_RNA from 1 species